rnacentral:tRNA from 1 species
GUCCUCGUAGCUCAGCUGGAUAGAGCGAGCGCCUCCUAAGCGCUAGGUCGGCCGUUCGAAUCGGCUCGGGGACG